rnacentral:rRNA from 1 species
UACGGAGGGGGCGAGCGUUAUUCGGAAUUAUUGGGCGUAAAGGGCGCGUAGGCGGCUUGACAAGUCAAAGGUGAAAUCCCUCGGCUCAACUGAGGAACUGCCUUUGAAACUGUCUGGCUUGAGGCCGGGAGGGGUAGCGGAAUUCCCAGUGUAGCGGUGAAAUGCGUAGAUACUGGGAGGAACACCAGUGGCGAAGGCGGCUACCUGGACCGGUUCUGACGCUGAGGCGCGAAAGCGUGGGUAGCAAACAGG